rnacentral:rRNA from 1 species
GAUGAACGCUGGCGGCGUGCCUAAUACAUGCAAGUCGAGCGAACAGACGAGGAGCUUGCUCCUCUGACGUUAGCGGCGGACGGGUGAGUAACACGUGGAUAACCUACCUAUAAGACUGGGAUAACUUCGGGAAACCGGAGCUAAUACCGGAUAAUAUAUUGAACCGCAUGGUUCAAUAGUGAAAGACGGUUUUGCUGUCACUUAUAGAUGGAUCCGCGCCGCAUUAGCUAGUUGGUAAGGUAACGGCUUACCAAGGCAACGAUGCGUAGCCGACCUGAGAGGGUGAUCGGCCACACUGGAACUGCGACCCGGUCCAGACUCCUACGGGGGGCAGCAGUAGGGAAUCUUCCGCAAUGGGCGAAAGCCUGACGGAGCAACGCCGCGUGAGUGAUGAAGGUCUUCGGAUCGUAAAACUCUGUUAUUAGGGAAGAACAAAUGUGUAAGUAACUAUGCACGUCUUGACGGUACCUAAUCAGAAAGCCACGGCUAACUACGUG